rnacentral:sRNA from 1 species
UUUUUUUCCCACCUCCGCUUGUUUUCUCUCCGACGUCGGUCAAAACGCCGUUGUCUUCUCCUCGUUCGU